GGCGGGGAGAGGCAGGCACGGUAAUGUUUAUAGUGUGUAUUAGUGCGCGUCCUAUCUUGUCUUGUCGUUUAUUGUGAGUUAUAAACAGUGAAAAACUUGCUGCUCUGCUUAAAUAUGUCACAAUCUUCUGAUGAAUGAAGACUGGAAAGGGUGUGAGAGGACGGUACGAGCGACCAUGAAGCAACGUAGAAGUGCAAGGUACCCGAAGGAAGGAAGUAAGCUGGUCGUGAGGAAGAAGGGAGAGAAGAGGUUAUUAUAACGAGGAACGUUGUAAUAUCAUGGACGUACGGCGGAGGGUGUGUAAUUUAUGGGAUUUCGUAUGGAAGAUAUUGCCAUCGACGCUCGGAAAUGUGCCUUCGGAGACGCCGAAAACGUGACUCCGAGUAAUUGAGAUCAUCGUGUUUGCGAGAGUUAUUGAUGGAACCUUGGUACUGAAAUCGUUGGACGGAAAUUAUCUUUACAAAGAAUCUCGAGAAUCUGAAAUAUAACGAGUAGCUGACAAAUAAUUAUCAUGAGAUUAGAUAAUAAGAAAUAUUGCAUGUUUAGUAUUAGACCGUAGUUACCACCUCGAUUAGAAAUGAUACCUACGGCUGACAUCAGUAUUAAUUGUUAAUACUUUCUAUCAACAAACUCACCACCGUUACUCGUUAGGUCAGUCUUGGUUUAAUCCGCAGUUAAAACAAAACUGGACACUGACCGAUCGUUUCUAAAGGAGCCGGACAUCUGGUUGAACGGACUCAACGAGAUCUCUAGAUCCUGAUUAAUUACUUGGUGUUGGCGUAUCUCUUGGCAGGAACUAGAUAAAUCGCGACUGACUACCGGAACCGUUAGAACGAAGGAUAACGUAGAAAGAAAAAAAAUAGAAAAGAAGAAAUGACGGUUGGGGGGGUCGAUGAUCGUUAAAACCGUAAAAUCGGCAUAUGGGGUCGUCGCAAUCGGUCGUCGCUGGCAAAGAUCAAUAAUUCGAUCUCGAUAUAAAUUCAACGGUAGGGGAGGAGAUCGUUUCUCAUCCGCUGGGGUCGCAAACACGUUUCAUGGAUGGGGUUGAAACCGAUCGCCCUUUUUUUUUUUCAUCGAUCACCCUUCCCACCCGAUGCAUUGCUUGCCACUCGCGUCCGUGGAAUCUAAUUUUACCGGCGGCACGUUGAAAGUAUAUCGAAAAAAUGUGACAUAACGUCAAUAUCUCACGGUUAAUAAUUUCUGUUUUGUUCAAGCGACGCUUUUCGAUUAUUAUUAUUUGCGCUUUUAUUUUUAACUUAUUGCUUCCCUUACGUGACAAGCCCUCUGCUUUUAUAAUAUUAAUACAUUGAUUGCUCUAGUGAAAAUGGAUGUACACAGGGCUAAUAGUUGCACAUUGAACUAAACUCAACAAAGUAGCAUAAUAGUGUCUUAAUCAAAAAUUUUAUACUAACUUGUCCAAUUAUCGUUGUAUGAUAAUUAGUGUAAUUAUUAAUUUCAAUUUCUAAAUUCAUUAAGUCCUUAAGAAACAAACAGCCCGACUAAUCAUCAAGGCAAUAUUUUAUCCCGGUGGAUUAGUUAUUACCAUAUUUUUACUGUCGAUUUGGUGAUAUCAGUGUCUUUAACAGUUUAGCACGUUAAAAUUCGUUUUUUUCCAUGCACGUUCGUUGUUCGUGACAUUUGGAAAGUUUUCAUCCAGCUAUCGCGGGGCAUCGCGACAGGAAUACUAGAAAUCGCAUAAACGUGGAGCACCAGGAAUCCAAUAGUCGUGAGCAGAACAAUGGCGUCACGAUGCUCGAUAAAAAUUGGCAUGGUUUUAUUAUGCAGUCCUAGGGUUCGAAGUACUGGGUGUCUGAUGAGUCGACUCGAGGAUCUUCCUCUGGGAAAUACUCAUCUUAUCCUCCAUUUCCCCAUAUGUUUACGAUAGGUACCUCUUCUAUGACACGCUGUUCCUUUUUUUCGAUGUAGUUCUCAAUGCUCCUGGCUUAUUGGCAAUUUGUUGAUUACUUGAAAAGAUUUCUGUGUCAUUUUGAAUACUUAACACGUUGAUUGCCGCAGUGAAAAUGAGUAUUUGUUACGAAACGUAUCGAAGCUCUAAUUAUUAAGAAUAGGAAUAGUUCAUUUUCAAAUUUCAAAUGUCAUGCUUUUAAUUUAGUACCUUACAUUAUUAGUAUAAUAACGAUUCUAUUGAAAAUAAUAUUUUUCUAUCGUUUUCUUUGAAUUAUUAGAGUACAUGUAAUUUGCGAUGAUUGUUUAUCUCUACUCUUGGAAAUGUUUAUACGCAAUGGCAACACAUUGUACAAAUUAGUCACGGGAGGGUGGAAACGUUUUUCGGUAAAACUUCUUGUGUCGGGACACGUAGGGGACUAUGGUCAUCCAUAAAAUUCGAAGGGUACGAGCGACAGCCACUCCUUCCUCUUGCAGCUUCGUAGCCCGAAUAAACUCCUGGCACGAAGCUAAUCAUAUUUUCUAAUCCAACGCUGAAAGUGGAGAGAAUGGUGAACGAAGGAGGAAAAAGCUCGCGUUGCCGGCUAUCAUAUAAUUUUUCCGACAAAAAGCACUUACGCUUCCUCGUCCCCUGCUAUAACCUAUUCACCCCCUUGGAAACAUGUUGCAAGCCGGACGAGGACGGAAAGCUUGAAAGAAAAGAUGAAAAUUUAUAUCGAAUUCUGUGGAACAUUUUGUAAGCUUCGCAACACCUUCGUUGCUUAAACUUCAUAAUGUGCUAUUAAAAUUCCUUGAAACUGUACAGUUUCCGCUUAUUUCAAAGCGUUCUUCGUUUAAACAUACUUUUACCAAUUGUUUCGAAAACUUUUGGAUCGGAUAAAAUUCUAAAGCAUGUGUAUAAGGGGGAUGGAAAAUAUUAAAUUACUUUGUAGAUUAUAAAAUUUAUUAUCACGUCAAUUACCAUUGAAAUUUUAAUUAUUAUUCAUUCUAUAAUAUUCAUUUUUAUUUGAUCAUAAUAUCGAGUAUCUCAAAUGGAAAAAUAUAAUUUUUUUAAGUCUCUCAGCCGGAUGCGCCCUAUGUGUAUUUAUUAAAUAACUACGUUCUUACGCUACAAUUAACAUGAUCAAUAAUUUAAAAAAAGGAGAACUAUGAAUAAUAUUAUUAUUGCAUUAAUAACGUGCAGAAGUACAUUCAUUAAGUUUUUAAUAAUCUGGGCAAUAGUAAAUUCAAGGCACACAUGUACACCUGCUGCCAUCUAUGAACAAGAGCGUCGCGUCGUUUUCUGUUCUUCUUCAAGUACAACGCCGUUCUCCACUGUUGAUUGUUAGAUCAGUUUUCGCUUUUAGAUACAAUUUCUGUUGUAAGUUUUAUGGUAAAAGUUGUGUAUUAUAACAAUAAUGCAACGGAGUCUCGAUUAUCCAAGUUUUGUUUAAUCAAAGUUCCGUGUUAUCUGUGGUACUUUGAACUUUAUAUUAGAUGGUGGCAUUAAUUUUGAAAUUUAUAUUAUUCUUCACUAUAUAAAGUGAAUAUUUUAUUGCGAAUUAAUUUGUAUUGAUAUAAAAAUUUCCUACUUAAAAACGCAAUACAAACGAUCAAAUAACAAUGCAAAAGCUAACUAUCCUGCUUUUCUUAUUAAAAUGAAAACGUAAAAGACAGUACAUUUCCACGAGAAGCAUUUCUAAGAAGUUUACGAAAGAACUCACCCCGCCUGCUUUUCGCAUUUCCAGAAAUUAACGGGAGGAAUAAUCAGUAAACUCCGGAGUCCUUUGAAUUCCUUUGAAAGUGUUCUACCAAGAAGAAGUUACACGGUACCGAGAGAGGAACGUGUAACGAGCAGGUCCGAUGGUACGCGGAAGAGUACGGGGCCAGGGGGUGUAGGAGGGAAAUGUGUCGGAAGGGGUGGUAGAAAUUAAGUCGGUUCCCCACCCUCAACGUUCCUCGAAACGACACCUCUUUUUUCUCCUUUUCUUCUUCCACUACUUCUUUCUCCUCUCCUCGUCGUGCGUUGGAUUCUGAAAUAAGCUUACCCUCCCCCUCCCCUCGCCCCUUCCCGGACCACCUUUAUCCGCUCCUCUUCCCUGACCCCCACCCUCUUCCAGUUUCAGCGACUUCGAGCACCUUUCCACACGAGAGCGCAUGCAUGCAUGCACCCAUACUAAUUCUCCGCGUUCCCAUCUCCUCGCGUGCGUAUGUGUCGGCCUACGUACGUGUAUCAAAUCCCCUAAAAGGGUGCUGGACCUGCGCGUCAAGGGUAGGUGGUACCAAAAUGGCCGAAGCCGCACCCACGACACUCGAGUGGGGGCGAUUCAGGGGAAUCGAUUCGGGUGGGGGAUUACACAUGACGACACACGUGUACACGAGGCUGAUGCCAGCGAAUGAAAGAGUGUGCGACCAAUGAACCGUGUGCGCGCACACGCGUGUAUAUGUGCGCGAACGAUACUGCUGCGCGAUACACGUCGCUCGCGAUGUAACCCGGGCAUGCCAGUUGGAAGGAUACAAAUCUGACCAUACCUAUGCGCUAUUCCGAAGAUACAGCUCGUUUACUGAUGCAAUUAACCCAGCUAAUUAUACAAAUUAAUUAAUUACCCUAAUUGUGUCGCAGAAAGUUGUUAUUCGACACUAUCAUAUAGUCGUCGUUGAAAAGGUAACAUUAGGACUUCUAUUCAAUUUAUUACAUACGAAUUAUGGAGCAACUAUUAUAUUACCCAAAAAUGGUUAUACAUCAAAGAAGAUGCAUUUCCGGGCCUAUGUUUAUGUCAUCCUUCGACCACCUAUUUUCCUGACAGCCUGAUUUGAAAAAUUGAUUCAAUUAGUUCACAGUUCCUGAAGAAGGUACUUCUUAUGAUUGUACGGUUAUUAAGAGAACCUUUAGACAUUUAUGGACAGCAGAAUCUUACCUGUUUAUAUAAUGAACGUUUUUUACGUUGAUCGUCAGUCGGUAGACUGUCAGCAACAAACACGACCAAACUUAAAUCGCGCUUUCGUCGAACUCGAAGGAUGCGAGAAGAAGUUUCGUUUGGCGAGGAGAAAUGAGGGACGGGGUGCGGCGAGGUCUCGUUCGAACCCCUGAACAAUUGCCGCUUCAGCAAUAGUACGAAGGCAAUAUCGUUUUCCCCGAGGAAGAAAAACAUGCAGAUUCGAUCGAUCGCGCGGGAGGUCGAAAUUCCAGCGUGUUCUGGGGGCUUCCUGCGGCAGACAGAGUGUCCUUUUUUGUCGCCCUAAAUAUCCACCCUCUUGCUGGCAAAAAAAAGGACACGGGAGACACGCAUGGGUCCUCGAUGGCUUCGUGGGGAUGGGUGAAAGGACGUGUGUGUGCGUGUGUUAUUUUUUCCGAGGCAUUAAGCUUGCUUUCCUGAGGGUAGGGGUGGUUGUUCUCCGAUAGGGAUGAGGUAUAGUUUAGUUUAGGGAUUCCACACGAAACACAGCCAAAGACUCGGCUUCUGUAAUACGCUCUCCUCUUCAUCCCGCGUUGCUUUCCAUCGUUUUCAAAGAUUUGUCAUGGGAUUUGGCAGCGUUAAGCGCCGAUGCUUGUCUUCGUUAAAAUAUUGAACAAUAUUUGAAGCUGACAUCACUUUUCAAACUUAUUUGGUCAAAAACAUUAUUAGAGUGUAUUGUAUUCUUCAUCAAACUGCUCGUAUUAUAA